rnacentral:rRNA from 1 species
AGAGUUUGAUCCUGGCUCAGGAUGAACGCUGGCGGCGUGCUUAACACAUGCAAGUCGAACGAAGCGAUUAGAAGGAAGUUUUCGGAUGGAAUUUUAAUUGACUGAGUGGCGGACGGGUGAGUAACGCGUGGGUAACCUGCCUCAUACAGGGGGAUAACAGUUAGAAAUGACUGCUAAUACCGCAUAAGCGCACAGGAUUGCAUGAUCCGGUGUGAAAAACUCCGGUGGUAUGAGAUGGACCCGCGUCUGAUUAGCUAGUUGGUGGGGUAACGGCCUACCAAGGCGACGAUCAGUAGCCGACCUGAGAGGGUGACCGGCCACAUUGGGACUGAGACACGGCCCAAACUCCUACGGGAGGCAGCAGUGGGGAAUAUUGCACAAUGGGGGAAACCCUGAUGCAGCAACGCCGCGUGAGUGAAGAAGUAUUUCGGUAUGUAAAGCUCUAUCAGCAGGGAAGAAAAUGACGGUACCUGAGUAAGAAGCCCCGGCUAACUACGUG